CAUCUACCCUUGCGGGACCUAACCUAAAUCUGUAUGUUGUGCUGGUGUACUUUUAUUGCAGGACCACAUCCUUCCAAAGGAUGGUGGUGGAUGAAUGCUUUGACCUGGCAUGUGAGACCUCAAUAGGUGAAGAUGAAAAUGUAUUCUGUUGGCUAUGUCCUCCUGGGUUUUAGGUUCUGCAACAGCCACAAUGCCAGGGCUGGAGAGAAGGAAUUGCUGCAACCACUGAAUAGAUGGGUGCUCCUUCUGCAUCUGUGAUGGAAUGGAAUUAUGAAGGCCAGACUCAGCGAGAAAACGUUUUCUUUCAUCUCCUGAGGCAC